rnacentral:tRNA from 1 species
UAGCGGCUUAAAGCGUUGCUCUGUGGCAGCAAAGAUCGCCGGUUCAAAUCCGGUCGCCCACC